CAUGUACUCCCUCCGUUCCGAAUUACUUGUCGCAAGUAUGGAUGUAUCUAGAUGUAUUUUAGUUUUAGAUAUAUCAAUUUCUGCGACAAGUAAUUUGGAACGGAGGGAGUAGUAU
rnacentral:pre_miRNA from 1 species